AGAGUCAUUGUUUAGAAUGUCUGCAACAAACAACCAGCAGUAACAAGAUGUCAAAGUUCCAUAAGAGAAUAAAGGUUGCUGGAUUCCAGGUGUGAGGAAACUAUAAUAUGAUUGAGCUAUUGAAAAGAGAAGAUGACUGCUCACCAUAUCUCCUGCUGAGCACAAAGUAGCCACGGGGCAAUUAAUGAAAACAAUGUGGGAAAAAAUAAGAAACAAUAAAUGGCACAGCUGUGAAAGUGCAACAGAAGAUAUUAGUAUGGGAUUAGAUUCAACAUUCAUUAGUUCUGUGAUAAAUGUGAUGGCAAGUCUGCUACAAAGUCUAGUGACCCAGUUUGUCAGGAGCCUGAUGGGAUCUGAAGAGGUAUCAUGACUCCAGGAAACCACAGAAUCAAAUGAUAAAUGUUAUAAACUGUGUUACAGUGGUCAAAAUCUUCUCAGAGCGGAGGCCAUCAGAAUUAUUACAGUACUGAAUCAAAUGUCUUACUUGAACCUGAAGCUAAGAGAUGUUCAUUGCUUGCCUUUAGAGAUCUCUGAUCACCAAGCAAAGAAACCGGGAGCAACUUUUUCUGAUUGUGGCUUUGCAUUCAUUGUGCAACUCUGACUCCAAAUAAGCUGCCCUUUCCAAGUCUAAUUUUAAUAAAUGAAUCAAUCAGAUUGUGGGAUUCAGUUCAAAACCCAGGAGACUAAAGUGCCUCAGAGGCUGUGACUGCACAAAAUUCAGACAUACCAAUAUUUUUGUCUAGAGUUAAUCCCAGCAGCCGCCGUGACCUUCCAACGGAUGAAAUAGAGAGAGCUGAGAAGUUUUGAUGCCUGGUCAAUCAGGUGUUGUUAACAAUGCAAUCUCCAGUGAACCUUCUUUUUGAGUUAUUUUCAAAAAGGCCAUGUGUAAAAAAUGCCUAUAUUUAUACAGCAUUGUGUUAACUUCACAAAGGGAGGGGAAUGAUAAAUUUUCAGGCAUAAAGCUGCAGCUGUCAUCAGCAAUGCUCACUAAUUUUAAUCAAAAUGUUUUCAAAGCAGCAGUCCUGAUUUAGGGCUGAACACAUGUUAUACCCACUCCCUUCUUGAGGCUAUUGUGGAAAGCAAUCAACCAAGGGAAAAAAAAUCCUUUAAAGAUGUCCAAUUGAUAUCAUUUAAUGUCAUGGCAUACUUAUAUUAAAAUCCUUUCCUCCAAGUCCACUUUUUUGAUGCCCAAUGGUGGUACUAAACAAAGUUGCUAGGCUGGAUGACAGCUCAGUUCUUCCGUUUCUAAAUUACAACUCUCAAUUCAGUGUGAGGGGACCCACAGUGUCCUUACUUGUGAUCAAGAGGAGUAUCAAUAGGUCUGAGGGGACCAGUUCAUAGUUCACACAAACUCUGUAGAAAUAAAUAUUUGUGUCAUAUA